GCACAAGCGGUGGAGCAUGUGGUUUAAUUCGAAGCAACGCGAAGAACCUUACCAGGUCUUGACAUCCCCUGACAACCCGAGAGAUCGGGCGUUCCCCUUCGGGGGACAGGGUGACAGGUGGUGCAUGGUUGUCGUCAGCUCGUGUCGUGAGAUGUUGGGUUAAGUCCCGCAACGAGCGCAACCCUCGACCUUAGUUGCCAGCAUUCAGUUGGGCACUCUAAGGUGACUGCCGGCUAAAAGUCGGAGGAAGGUGGGGAUGACGUCAAAUCAUCAUGCCCCUUAUGACCUGGGCUACACACGUGCUACAAUGGUUGGUACAACGAGUUGCGAGUCGGUGACGGCGAGCUAAUCUCUUAAAGCCAAUCUCAGUUCGGAUUGUAGGCUGCAACUCGCCUACAUGAAGUCGGAAUCGCUAGUAAUCGCGGAUCAGCACGCCGCGGUCGAAUACGUUCCCGGGCCUU
rnacentral:rRNA from 1 species